UAAACACAACAGUUGCCCCGGGGGACCCCAAUCCUUGGAUCGUCGUCCCCCUCAACCAGCAACAACACCAACAUUCCCUGCUCUACCUAGGAAGGAUUGAUGGGUACCUUGAUUAUCAGAAAACUUGCCGACAAGGGAGUGCCGGUGCACAUGUGGCACCUGUGUCAUUGUGGGCCCUGAAUCACAACAACAAAAUUAGCACAUAAAUCUACAACAAUGUAUUUAAGAGCUCUAGGUUAGGUUGAAUAUAUGUUCAGUGUAAGACAUGCUUUACAAAGACUUGAUUGUCUUAAUCAAUAUAAAUGGUCAUACAAAAAUCAGUUGGCAAACAGCUCUUACAAGAAGAAUGUCGAUACUGAAAUUAUUUAAGUUCUUCAAUGAUGAUAUGUCAUAUUAGGCAUUUGACCAUAUGCAUGCAGUUGACAGUAUCUUAAAAUAAUAGAAAAUGUAAUGAUUGCAACAGAAAAAGAAGGGAAAUGUGUGAUGUCAUCAACACAUCCAUCUUACAUUUUCAAGUGUUCACAUCAACUAAAAGACAGAGUAAUUAAGUGUUGCCUAACCAUCGACAGUGAUGCAUCACCUUAGAACCCAUCUCUUGCGGUCAUUGAAAAAAAAUUAACAGAAUCUUAAGUAUCAUAAAGAAGCAAGAUAAAAAAAAGCCUCGAAGCACACUGUAAUUAUCAUGCAACAGUACAAUACAACCCUGUCAGCUCAACUUAGACAGAUGUCAGGUGCAUCAUAUUUUCAUAUACUGAUAGCAGAUUUGCUUAUUUCAGAGUUACCUAAAGCUUGCCAAUUUGGUUUUAAUGUGCACAGAAUAAGCACCAAAGUUUCUUUAUGGGUCAAUGAGCUGGUUGUUCAGCCCUUGGUGUUCAUGCUCUCAGAUCAAGUUGCUCUUUUUCCAAAUUGCUCUUAACCUAAAAUGAUUGCAUUAACCUAACAUAAUAUUGUUUUUACCAAGCCAAACACAACAUAACCUAAUCUAAUAUACAGAAUUCAGAAAAUAGAGGAGCAACUCAUCUUGUUAACAUCUUUAUCAAGGUGAAAGGUCAAAGGCAGUAAUGUUCCUUUUCUUUGUUUGAAUUUGAUGAUCACAUUAGCCAGCAGCAAGAAUGGCUGAAGAAAACGCAGAGAGAAGAGCAAUGGAAGAUGUAGUAAGAAGUGAAAUAGAAAAGGAAAAUUUGCAGGCAACGAUUGACCAAAUGAUCCGAGAAGUCGUUUCAGAAGAAGUUGGACGAUCAUCACAUGUUAACCUUGAAACAGUCGUCGCACGUUUGUUAGAUUCUAUCACAGUACAGUCUAUGGUACAAAGAGUGUUAGCAGGAUGCACUCCCCAGCAGUCUACACAUCCACCAGUAGGAAACUUGCCUGGGAAUUUACAAGAGCAAGUUGUUCAAGGACGUCGAUAUUUAUACUUGCGUGUGUGUGGCGGUAGGGCAUUUGUGGACUAUCUUGGAAAAGAAGGAAUACCUUCACCUGCUGGUGGUCAGGCUUCCUUAAAUAUCCACUUGGCUCUUCACAACCAAAGAUUUGCGAUAUAUGGAGUUCCUUGUGUGUGUGAACCCAAGAUCAAUGAAGGAUUUCUGUUUGAUCUGCAGCAUUUCAAACCAGAUCACUGCAACAUGCUCAAUAAUAGUGAACUCUUGACUUUGGAUGCUCCAAUCACUGUAGCAGUUGUAAGACAAGAAGGAGAUCAAGGGACCCCUACAUCACUUCUCUCUGUACACAUUCUGGAGUGGCGAUCUUUGCUGGCACAACCCUCACCCACCAGCAAGGUUGUAUGUCAACUAAUGGGUAUAGGAAGUGAGCAUGAAGUGCCUGUUGGACUACUGGACAUAGAAGUAACAUUAGUUCCACCUGUGGGGUCUCCUCUACAAGCUCCUGUUGUUUCCAAAUACCUUGAAGAAAUAAAAAAUCAAAGAGGAGAAAGAAGGAGACUGUUUCGAACAUAUGCACAAAAGUGGUGGCAAGAGUAUUUAAACGCUUCUACUAGUCAUUCAUCAAGAUUGGUUCAAAUGUUUGCUAUGGAUGAAUGUGGGAAAUACAGGUUUGUAUGUGAAUUUGUAAGAAAAUUUGAGGUGGGUCGAAUGCUAAAGUCUCCUGAAGAAGCAGCUCGAUGGGUCAGUGUCAUGCCUGUGAUUCCCAUUCAUCAUUUACCUGCCUGCUCGAACAGACUGUGGUUUACUCUGCCUAUAGCUGUCAUUGCUCGCUCACUAAGUACAGAAAGUAAGUGUACUUUGCUGUGUAGCAUAUUGCUAGGAUAUGGCCUAGACGCAUGGGUGUGUGUUGGAACUCGCCGUUCAGGUACCCCGCAUGCAUGGGUCAUGAUGCGAGGACCAUACUCUGCUGUCACGUUCUGGGAAGCAGCAACUGGUUCUCGUUACUUACACAAAGUGGGCCAGAAAGCUGCUCAUGACUAUGGUUCCAUUGGCAGUGUCUUCAAUAACAAACAUUUUUAUGCCAACUGUCAGACCUCUGACAAAAUUGAGUAUUGCAACUUCUUCUUGGAAGAUAGCAGUGCUUGGAAGAUGAUGUCCUCAAGUGCCACAUCAAGCAUGACAGAGAAGAGAUCUUGCUUGAUACCAUUAACUCCAGCUGCUUGUGAUGAAAAUAAAAGAAGUACUGACAUGGAAGUAAAGCUUAGACUCUUCAUUAUUGAACACAGAAGUAAUGGUACAAAUCGUUGAUGAGGACCUGCCAUACUCCCUGACGAGAUCAGUCACACGCACACCACGCUCGUGUUUUGCCAUGAUUUCCUUCUUCACUUCCAAGGACAAUGGCCUGAGUGCUCACUUUGACGAACAUUUAUGCUACAUGCUGACUCCAGCAUUAUGGUCCUAUGAGAGGAAUGCCACAGAGGGUGACGACGACACUAAGAGUAGAGGUGCAGAACUCUUCUCCGCUG
rnacentral:misc_RNA from 1 species